CUUGCUUCUUGCGUUACGGCGGACGGGUGAGUACACGUGGGCACCUGCCUGUAAGACUGGGAUAACUUCGGGAAACCGAAGCUAAUACCGGAUAGGAUCUUCUCCUUCAUGGGAGAUGAUUGAAAGAUGGUUUCGGCUAUCACUUACAGAUGGGCCCGCGGUGCAUUAGCUAGUUGGUGAGGUAACGGCUCACCAAGGCAACGAUGCAUAGCCGACCUGAGAGGGUGAUCGGCCACACUGGGACUGAGACACGGCCCAGACUCCUACGGGAGGCAGCAGUAGGGAAUCUUCCGCAAUGGACGAAAGUCUGACGGAGCAACGCCGCGUGAGUGAUGAAGGCUUUCGGGUCGUAAAACUCUGUUGUUAGGGAAGAACAAGUACGAGAGUAACUGCUCGUACCUUGACGGUACCUAACCAGAAAGCCACGGCUAACUACGUGCCAGCAGCCGCGGUAAUACGUA
rnacentral:rRNA from 1 species